ensembl:lncRNA
GAGGUAGGUAGGGAAAGGGAGAGAAGAGAGAAAGGGAGGUAGGGACAGAGAAGAGAGAAAGGUAGGUAUGGACAGAGAAGAGAGAAAGGGAGGUGGGGACAGAGAAGAGAGAAAGGGAGGUAUGGACAGAGAAGAGAGAAAGGGAGGUAGGGACAGAGAAGAGAGAAAGGGAGGUAUGGACAGAGAAGAGAGAAAGGGAGGUAGGGACAGAGAAGAGAGAAAGGGAGGUAGGGACAGAGAAGAGAGAAAGGGAGGUAAGGACAGAGAAGAGAGAAAGGGAGGUAGGGACAGAGAAGAGAGAAAAGGAGGUAUGGACAGAGAAGAGAGAAAGGGAGGUAUGGACAGAGAAGAGAGAAAGGGAGUUAGGGACAGAGAAGAGAGAAAGGAGGUAUGGACAGAGAAGAGAGAAAGGGAGGUAGGGACAGAGAAGAGAGAAAGGGAGAUAGGAACAGAGAAGAGAGAAAGGGAGGUAGGGACAGAGAAGAGAGAAAGGGAGGUAGGUAGGGACAUAGAAGAGAGAAAGGGAGGUAGGGACAGAGAAGAGAGAAAGGGAGGUAGGGACAGAGAAGAGAGAAAGGGAGGUAGGGACAGAGAAGAGAGAAAGGGAGGUAGGGACAGAGAAGAGAGAAAGGGAGGUAGGGACAGAGAAGAGAGAAAGGGAGGUACGGACAGAGAAGAGAGAAAGGGAGAUAGGGACAGAGAAGAGAGAAAGGGAGGUAGGGACAGAGAAGAGAGAAAGGGAGGUA